rnacentral:rRNA from 1 species
UACGAAGGGGGCUAGCGUUGUUCGGAAUCACUGGGCGUAAAGCGCACGUAGGCGGACUUUUAAGUCAGAGGUGAAAGCCUGGAGCUCAACUCCAGAACUGCCUUUGAUACUGGGAGUCUCGAGUUCGGAAGAGGUUGGUGGAACUGCGAGUGUAGAGGUGAAAUUCGUAGAUAUUCGCAAGAACACCAGUGGCGAAGGCGGCCAACUGGUCCGAUACUGACGCUGAGGUGCGAAAGCGUGGGGAGCAAACAGG